AGGCCCAUUAAUGUGACAUUAUCACUUUCUUUAAUUUCAUAAGAAACAGCUAGGGAAUGCCAACUUGGGGGGGUUAGUGCUUUUAGAAGAGCAGCUGCUGAAUCACAAAUCUGGGUUUUACACACAAAAUUCAAUGCUUCCCUUACCCACCCACCCACCGACUCUGCCCAUUUCAAAAGCUGCCGCUGUACUCUGCACAAAUUGGGGCAAGAUUGUCUCCAACACAAUGCGUGCCCCUUUUGGGCCCUCUGAUUGAUGAAGAAACAUGCAUUGAUUAAUCAAAAAGACUACUCAGUUGGAACUUGCUUUAACAAGGGCUCAAUCAGAUGGGGACAUGAAGUCAAGGGUGGGCGUUGGCGUUGGCGUUGGCGUUGGCACAAAUCUAAGGCUUUAGUGGGUUGCUGGUUACCACAUGCUCCCAGGAACCUCUCUCCACAAUCCUUGCAGCUUUGCUUGCAAUCCACAAGAGAACCACAAAAUUGCAUCAUGUGGAUCCAGGAAAAGAGGCAAACUGGGGCCGAGGCGAUUUGGCUUUUUCACUUGAGGGGCCGUGUGUCCCGCAUAUUAUCCCAGGCCGGAAUACUCCUUCGGCUCUCCAUCGAACCCAAGAGGUAAAUAGAAAAAUCUAUUGUGCAGGUCACACAUUUUAUUCCCCUCUAAAUUAGUGGACUUUUAUCCUCCAAUUUGGUUUUCUCACACUACAAAAGGAAGCAGCCCCCCAUGAUAUUGAAACUCUAAUUAAUUGUUGCACAU